UUGGUGAGAGAAGCAGGUCGGUAAUUGGUCACAACGCUCCUCAGAGACUGUGUCUGAUUGGCCGCCGAGUGACCAGCGCAUUAUGUGAUUGGACACAAUGCCCUUGGAGAGCGGCUGAUUGGACGGGAGGAGACCGAUUUGUUGAAUGGACGGGACUUUUAAGGGAAGCUGGUCGGUGUUUGGACGAAACCUCCUUAGAGACAGAGGUUGAUUGGCCGCCAAAUAAUCGGGCACAAAAAAUUGGCAAAUAGGAAAACAAUAAAAUCGGAAUUCUGAUUAAAAUCGGAAGAAUAUCAUGC